rnacentral:rRNA from 1 species
CGACAGAGGGCGCAAGCCAGCUCUAGCCCUGCCGCGUGAGCGAUGAAGGCCUUAGGGUUGUAAAGCUCUUUAGGGGGGAAGAUAAUGACUGUACCCCCAGAAGAAGCCCCGGCUAACUCCGUGCCAGCAGCCGCGGUAAUACGGAGGGGGCUAGCGUUGUUCGGAAUUACUGGGCGUAAAGCGCACGUAGGCGGACGGAGAAGUCAGAGGUGAAAUCCCAGGGCUCAACCUUGGAACUGCCUUUGAAACUUUCUGUCUUGAGGUCGAGAGAGGUGAGUGGAAUUCCGAGUGUAGAGGUGAAAUUCGUAGAUAUUCGGAGGAACACCAGUGGCGAAGGCGGCUCACUGGCUCGAUACUGACGCUGAGGUGCGAAA